UUCCGGUUGAUCCUGCCGGACCCUACUGCUAUCGGGGGAGGACUAAAACAUGCAAGUCGUGUGCCUCCAAGCCAUGGUGGAGACGCGGCAUCCGGCUCAGUAACACGUGGCUAACCCACCCUUGAGACGGAGAAAACCCCGGGAAACUGGGGUUAAUCUCCGAUAAGAGAAGACACCUGGAAUGGGUCUCCUCUCAAAGGGCGCCUAGACCAUGCUUCUGGGCGUUGCUCAAGGACGGGGCCGCGGCCGAUCAGGUUGUUGGUGAGGCAACGGCUCACCAAGCCUAUAACCGGUACGGGCCGUGAGAGCGGGAGCCCGGAGAUGGGCACUGAGACAAGGGCCCAGGCCCUACGGGGCGCAGCAGUUGCGAAAACUCCGCAAUGCACGAAAGUGUGACGGGGCUACCCCGAGUGCCGUCCGCUGAGGGCGGCUUUUCCCCGGUGUAAGGAGCCGGGGGAAUAAGGAGAGGGCAAGUCUGGUGUCAGCCGCCGCGGUAAUACCAGCUCUCCGAGUGGUAGGGAUGAUUAUUGGGCUUAAAGCGUCCGUAGCCGGCCCGGCAAGUCUUCCGUUAAAUCCAACGAUUCAAUCGUUGGACUGCAGGAGAUACUGUUGGGCUAGGAGGCGGGAGAGGCCGACGGUACUCUCGGGGUAGGGGUAAAAUCCUAUAAUCCCGGGAAGACCACCAGUGGCGAAGGCGGUCGGCUAGAACGCGCUCGACGGUGAGGGACGAAAGCUGGGGGAGCGAACCGGAUUAGAUACCCGGGUAGUCCCAGCUGUAAACGAUGCGGGCUAGGUGUUGGGGCGGCUACGGGCCGCUUCAGUGCCGCAGGGAAACCAUUAAGCCCGCCGCCUGGGGAGUACGGCCGCAAGGCUGAAACUUAAAGGAAUUGGCGGGGG
rnacentral:rRNA from 1 species